GUUAAAAGAUUACUUAAUAAGAAGGAAGAAUAGGUUUAAUAAGAAAAGUAUUUUGAAAGAAAAAUUUUUAGUAUAAGUAAAAAAGUUAAUAAAAUGGUUAUAGGGUAUAAGUAUUGUAAAAGAAAAUUGUUUAUAGAGAAUCAAAGAAAAGAAAUUUAAAAUGUACCUUUUGUAUCAUGGAUAAUCGAAAUUAAUGAAAUAAAAUCUAAAUCCCGAAAAAAAAAGAGUUAUAAUAAAAAUAAGUCCUUGUAGAAAAAAGGUUUAAAAUUUUAUUAUGGAAACGAAAAGUUAGUCGUGUUUUUAUAUCUGGUUCUUUAUAAAGUAAAUUUAAUUUAGAAUAAGAAAUAAAAAUUUUCUUAAAUUUAAAAAUAUAAGGGUAGAGCUUUAUAUUUUGUAUAGAUUGAAGUCAGAAAAAAUUAUUUUUUUAAAUUAGGCAUAAAAGUUGCAAUAUUAAAAAAGUGUUUUAACUUAAAAAAUUUAAAUAUAAUUUUUAUAGGACUAGAAAUUAAAGUAAAGAGUUGUGUUAAUUAAAAAAUCAGUUGUUAUUAUGAUUAUAUUAGUAAGAAAAAAUGUUUAUAAAAAGAUUAUUAAAAUUAAUUUAACAUUAAAAUUUAAAACAGGAUUGAAGAAGGAACUCGGCAAAAGGUGGCUCCGCCUGUUUAACAAAAACAUGUCUGUAUGAAGUUAAAUAGAGUCUAUUCUGCCCGUUGAAUUUUUUAAUUUGAAAGGCCGCAGUAUUCUGACUGUGCAAAGGUAGCAUAAUCAUUAGUUUUUUAAUUGAAGGCUUGGAUGAAUGAUUGGACGAGAGCUAAACUGUCUUCUUCAAUUAAACUGAAUUUUAUUUUUAAGUGAAAAAGCUUAAAUGGUUAAGAAAGACGAUAAGACCCUAUAAAUCUUUAUGUAAAUAAAUCUUUUAGGUUCAAAUAUUAGGUUAAAUAAACUUAAAUGGUUAAAACAUUAUGCUGGGGUGGUAAAGAUAUAAAAAAUAAACUGUCAGAAAAUUAAACAAAAAUUUUUGUUAGUAAAAGAUCCUUUAUUAGGAUUAAAAGUAAAAGUUACUUUAGGGAUAACAGCAUAAUUCCUUUUGAGAGUUCAAAUCGAAAAAGGAGCUUGUGACCUCGAUGUUGAAUUAAGAGAUCCUUUAUGGUGCAGCAGCUAAAAAAGGAAGUCUGUUCGACUUUUAAAUUCUUACAUGAUUUGAGUUCAGACCGGCGUGAGCCAGGUUGGUUUCUAUCUUCUUAAUUAAAUAUGAUCAUUUUAGUACGAAAGGAUUGAGUGAAUCAAAAUAAUUUUUUGUUAAGAAUAAUAUU
rnacentral:rRNA from 1 species